rnacentral:rRNA from 1 species
AGUCGAGCGGAAAGGCCCCUUCGGGGGUACUCGAGCGGCGAACGGGUGAGUAACACGUGAGCAACCUGCCCCUGACUCUGGGAUAAGCCCGGGAAACUGGGUCUAAUACCGGAUAUGACCACGGGUCGCAUGGCCUUGUGGUGGAAAGUUUUUCGGUUGGGGAUGGGCUCGCGGCCUAUCAGCUUGUUGGUGGGGUGAUGGCCUACCAAGGCGACGACGGGUAACCGGCCUGAGAGGGCGACCGGUCACACUGGGACUGAGACACGGCCCAGACUCCUACGGGAGGCAGCAGUGGGGAAUAUUGCGCAAUGGGCGGAAGCCUGACGCAGCGACGCCGCGUGGGGGAUGACGGCCUUCGGGUUGUAAACCUCUUUCAGCAGGGACGAAGCUAACGUGACGGUACCUGCAGAAGAAGCGCCGGCUAACUACGUGCCAGCAGCCGCGGUAAUUCC